AGUGAACGCUGGCGGUAGGCCUAACACAUGCAAGUCGAACGGCAGCACAGUAAGAGCUUGCUCUUACGGGUGGCGAGUGGCGGACGGGUGAGGAAUACAUCGGAAUCUACUUUUUCGUGGGGGAUAACGUAGGGAAACUUACGCUAAUACCGCAUACGACCUACGGGUGAAAGCAGGGGAUCUUCGGACCUUGCGCGAUUGAAUGAGCCGAUGUCGGAUUAGCUAGUUGGCGGGGUAAAGGCCCACCAAGGCGACGAUCCGUAGCUGGUCUGAGAGGAUGAUCAGCCACACUGGAACUGAGACACGGUCCAGACUCCUACGGGAGGCAGCAGUGGGGAAUAUUGGACAAUGGGCGCAAGCCUGAUCCAGCCAUACCGCGUGAGUGAAGAAGGCCUUCGAGUUGUAAAGACCUUUUGUUGGGAAAGAAAAGCAGCAGGUUAAUACCCCGCUGUUCUGACGGUACCCAAAGAAUAAGCACCGGCUAACUUCGUG
rnacentral:rRNA from 1 species